AGGAGUAGUGGCCUGCCACCUGUUUGCCCGAAUCUCAAAGCGUCUCUUCCCCGAUCGUUUUGUUCUUCGCCUCGUCGCCGCCGCCGCCGCCGGUUGCCGGAGAAGAAGCCUCUUCGGCUGUUGCGGCGGCGUACCUCCGGCGGGAUAUAAUGGAGGAGGUCUCUGCUGUUUCCUGCGAGUUCUCCAGGGGUGAGUGAGUUCAAGAGCCUAAACUGAAAGCAAUAAAUGAAUCAAACAACCAAGUCGUCAAGAAGAUGAAAAGAACAGAAACUUUCACAUGUUGCGAGUUCAUUGUGCCACUGUGCUCAAUUUCAACACAAAAUUUAGUCCUUUUUUCCCCCUUCUAUGUCAUCAGUCAUUCAGUCAAACAUGUACCACUGUAUUCUCCCUACAAAGAGAACUGCUACUGGAAUUAUUUCUUCCAGAGAAACAUAUGUGCUCUCUUAACA